AGGUGGUGCACAAGCUUUAACUAAAGAACAUGGAACUAGAAACAUUCUCCUUAAGCUCUCCGGUAACUGCAGGCUGCAAGGAUGACAUGAUAUUUAAAAUUAAUCUAAUAUAUAUUUUGGUACGGUAUCGGUAUUUCAGUAUUUUAAAAAAAUUAUCAAAUACCAUAUCAAAUAUCAAAUACAAAAAAAUUCGAUUUCGAUAUGUUAAUUCGGUAUUUACCAAAUUAUACACGGCCCUAUGACGCCUUAUUAUUUUCGCCCCAACAUCAUUGUCAACCAUCCCAAUUUAAUAUUUUUUCCAGAAAUUGUACCACAAGAAUACUCUAGGAAACAAUGCAACAGUCCCAUGUCCAUCCUGGCCAUGUGAAAUAUCUCAGAAUUUGUUUUUGUUUAUUAGCAAUCUAAUCCAACACUGCCAAAACUCACAUACUGACAUCUGCAUUAAAUAUUGUACCCCCCCAAGUGUCACUCCCAUUUGAUGUCUACAGCUGCCUUUGUUACCUAGCUACUAACCGUUACACUAGAAAUUUUAUGUAAAUGUGUACUUUUUCUAUAUAUAGUGGAGCAGUGCCUUAAAAUAUUCCAAGAAUCAUUAUUUAUCUAUGGUUUUUUGGGUUACAGUGUCACUGAAACUAUCCCCAAGAUUCCAUGGAGAGGUGAAAUAGUGGGAGGUAAGUUACAAAAACCCACUUACCCAACUGUGUAUUUAGGAAUAAAAUGCACAACUUUCUAGGUAAAAGAGUAGUACUUCAAGUUUAUUUUAUUAAUAAUGCGUUUAAUGUGAAUUCUUCUCAAUGUAUUUUAGUCGGUUAUAUCAGAUUAUUAUUCUAUUCCUUUCAAAUUAGAUGGACUGUUUUUCUUUUUAGUUUAUUUUAAAAUAAAUGACAUAUUUUUAAAUUUGAAAAUAAUUUAAUUUUAAACUCUUCAUUUGAUUCAUUUUACCCUUAAUAAGAAGCUUUUAUAACCACACAAAUAUCAUGAUCACAAAACUUUUACCCAUUAACCUUUUAAGACCGCAAGUUACAAAAGUCUCUUUUUUUUUCUUAAAUUUUUUGCUUAAAACGAAGGGAGUAAUUCAUUUUUCAUGUUAUUAUACUAGGAUUGAUAUGUAGAGUUCCUAAUCGCUGCAAGUCCACUUAAUCAAAUAGUAUAAAGAUUUUUUCUACUCAGUAUAUAAAUAUAAAUAUAAAUAUAAAUUUUUUACUUAUUAGAGAGAGGGGUGGGGAGGGGGGUUUAUUUUCUUCACCUUUGUAUUAUUACAAAUUUAACUUUUAUAUAUUAAUAAUGUAAAAUAAUUUCUACAUUAUUAUGUCACUUAAAAGAGUAACUAUAUGAAAAAAUGAGAUUAAUGACCUAAAAACUAAGAUAUCUUUAUCUGCUAAAAUAUAUUUAAAUACAUUAAUAUUAUAAAAAAUUGAGUUGUCAGUCUAUAUAAUUUAAAUCGUUAAAUUAUUAGGAGUAAAUUUUAUGGAUGGUCAUUCAACUUUGUGUUCAUUACGCAAAAGUCAUUUUUCUUCUUUUUGUUACGUAAAAAUUAUUCAACUUUGUGUUGAUUACAUAAAAGUCACUUUUCUUUCCUUUGUUACAUAAAAAUUAUUUUACUUUGCUAUGUUUAUCACAAAAGUCACCUUGAUCAGAUUUUAUAAUACUUUUACUUGAAAAGUCAAUUAUGCCCUUGACAUUAUAUAUCCUCUCAUUUAUGUAAUACAUUUAUAUUAUAUACUAUAUAAUAUAUAUAUUUUUAACUAGAUAUUUUACUUAUAAUUAAAAUAACUUUAAAUUAUUUUAUAAUAUAUCCAUAUAUUUAAUUUUUUCACGACACUCAAUUUGUUUAAUCAUAUUUAAGCAUGAACAUAUUUUAAAUAUAAAAACCAUAAAAAAAAUUAUUUUUAAUAUUUAUUUGAAAUAAUAACAAACAGAUUUGUUUAACAAAUGAUAGUUUUUUUUAUAGUCAAUACAAAUUUUAAAAAAAAAUUCGAAGAUAUUUGUAUUUAUUAUUAAAAUUUUUAAAGCUUUAUUUGUUAAUAUUAUUUAUUUGAAAGUAUUAAUUUGAUGUGUCAUUGUACUAAAUAUGGAUAUUUUAUUUAUUGAAUUAAUGAGUAUGACUUGGUUGAUCAUUAAAAAUAUUUAAUUAAGUAUGGUUAAGAACGUGGACUUGAGAUUUGUUCAUGGUAAUAUUUACUGACAAAUUUAAUAAUGUUACUUAUAUACCUUGAAAAUUACCGUUAAGAAGAUAUUAAAUGUACGAAUAUAUUAUAAAAAAAUAAGUAAAAUAAUAUCAAGUUAUUUUAAUUAUAAGUAAAAUACCUGGGUAAAAGUAUAUUAUAUAGCAUAUAAUAUAGAAAGUAUUACAUAAAUCGAAUGAUUUAUAAUAUCAAGGUCAUAAUAGACUUUUCACGUGAAAGAUUUGUAAAAUCUGGUCAAAGUGAUUAUUGUGUUAACUAGAGCAUAGACAAAUGAUUUUUGUGUAACAAAAGAAAGAAAAAUAAUUUUUAGGUAAAGAACAUAAAGUUGAAUAAUUUUUACAUAACAAAAGAAAGAAAAUUAACUUUUAGUUAAUGAACACAAAAUUGAGUAACAAGCCAUAAAAUUUACUCAAUUAUUAGGAGCAAUUUUUGCUGUGUACCAUGCAAAUGAAGACUAUUUUACUAGAAAAGUUUUCAGCAGAAUAUAGUGGAUCUGAACUUCAUAUCUUUUAGUUCUGCCAGUCUCAAAAAUACAUGGUUCCGAGUCUUUAGUAUUCCUGCACUCUCUGCUUUGCUCUUCAGCUUUGUAAAUGGCCAGCUCCUCCUCAAGUUUGUUUUGGUGCAGUACUCUUUUUCCCCUUCUUUCUACUAAAUGAACUCUUUUAGUAAUUAACUCAUUUUGCCAAAUCUUGAAUGAAUUCAGUUGUUUGUCGUCUAUACUUGAGGUUUUUCAUUUACUACACUGUUUAACUUUGCAUAUGAUUUCAGUGCUGCUUCUUGUGUUCUCUUCUCAAGAAAAGCUGAAAGUUUUGUUCUUUGUUUCAAACAGUGGAUACCAUUUUCAGAACUAAACAUCCUCACACAUAAGAAAGUUUCUAGCUCAUUGUUUCCUAAAACUUUAUUCUGUUGCUUUAAAUGAUGAAAAACAGUGUCAAGCUGCUUUCCCUUUGUUCUUCUUUCCUGCUACUCAUAAAAAACUGAACUUUAUACUUGGCACAAAUCUUAAGUAUCUAGAUCUGCCUUUAAAAUCCAUUAGGAACAAAAAGAAUUGGUCAUAAGUAAUUAGGCAAAAGAGUGAAAAAUGAGAUCCAUAGAGGACAAAGGAUGCUUGAAUUAUGGACAAAAACAAGAGGUUGUAGGAGGAGGAGGCAGCAGUAUGAAUUUUGAGUUUCAUAAAGGGAAUGGAGUAAAUCGUGCAUCGACUCACCAAAGAACAGCAGCCUCAGGUAAACCAACACCAUCAAAAUGGGAUGAUGCACAAAAAUGGUUAGUGAAUCUUUCAAGAGGGGGAGGAGAAAAACACCAAUCUAAAGCCACCCCUCGAAACUCGAAUGCUGAUGACUUAAGGUUGAUUUCACCAGUUCCAAAGAAAGAGGACUAUUCGAGUGGCGAGGAAGGAGAUUCUAGUAUGAUUCAAUUUGAAGUGGAAACAAAGAAAGUUGAUUGUGAUGAAUCAAUAUGGAGAAUCAAUAAGGCUUCUAAUAACAACUCUGCCUCAGCUGUUCGAUCGAUAUGUGUUAGGGACAUGGGAACAGAAAUGACCCCAAUUGCAAGCCAAGAACCAUCAAGAACUGCCACUCCGAUUAGAGCUACAACUCCAGCAGCAACAAGUCCAAUAUCCUCAGGAUCUUCUACUCCUAUAGAAAAUUGUCAAACUGUUGCCACCACAGGUGAGAACAGGGUAAAUGCAGGGACUACACGAAUCGUUCGCGAUGCAGAAGAAACUAUUGACAAUGAAUUAGCAGCUAAGAAGGAAACAAAACAUGCCAACAAGCUUAAUCCACUGGAAACUCGCGCAAUGGCUUGGGAUGAGGCUGAACGUGCCAAGUACAUGGCCAGGUAAUGUGCUAGAUAGGCUGCUCUGUUGAUUAAGAAUCAUAGCACUGUACUAUUAUUUAUUUUUUCUUUUCAAAAACUUUUAUCCAGAUACAUAACUGCUUAUUUUUAAAAUCAGUUCCGGUAGUUAAAAGUGAUUUUCAUGCUUAUUUGCUACAUUUAAUCAACUAACCUAAACGAGCCUGUUUGUACCACUCUUUCUUUGCGUUGAUCAUAUGAGUAACAACAUAUAUAUAUAUUGAUUUGUCUGCAGGUAUAAGCGCGAAGAGGUGAAGAUACAAGCUUGGGAAAAUCAUGAAAAGAGGAAAGCUGAAAUGGAAAUGAAAAGAAUGGAGGUAAUCAAUCUUAAUUUAUUUUGACAUGUCACUUUCUUUCAUUUUAAUCUUUACACCAUCUUGCUUGCGGUGGUGAGUACCUGAUUUAUUAUUAGAGGCAGAUAUAAGAUACUAGUAUUAAGUAUGUAGGUGCAGACUACCACUGCACUCACCAUUCUUUGUUAAAGUAGGUGCGAACUUGAUAUCAAUAUACUUUUAGAAAAUAAUUAACUUACGCUGCCCAGUACUUGUAUCACACAGGGUUAAUUUCACGUAUAACCACUUAACUUUACCACCUAUAAUAGUAAAUUCAGAAAACUAUUUCUCUUCACAUUAAUUAAAGUCACUUUGAUAGAUAAGUGUUGUCGUUAUAGUGGAUAGCGUUGAGCGACUUUAUUGUUAUAGUGGGUACAGUUUAGUUACUUUAACCUAAUAAAAAAUAGGUUUAUAACUUAGGAUAAAUUUUAGUGAUUUCGGUUACUUUAAUAUGACAGAAGAGAAUUUUUUGACUUAACUAUUAUAGUGGUUACCUGAAAUUAACCUUGAGCUCUCAAAAUGCUGCUGGUUUGGAUUUGCAGGUGAAGGCAGAAAGAAUAAAAGCAAGGGCACAAGAGAAGUAUACAAACAAGUUGGCAUCAACAAGGAGAAUAGCAGAGGAGAAAAGAGCCAACGCUGAAGCAAAGCUGAAUGAAAAAGCUGUAAAGACUUCUGAAAAGGCAGAUUAUAUAAGGAGGACUGGUCAUCUUCCCUCCUCUUUCUCUUUUAAGUUACCUUCUUUCUGCUGGUAGCAGCUUUUUCUUGUAUACCUAUAAACUACACUACUAUAUUUACUAAGUAGUAACUUUGUUUCUUUCUUGCGUGGUUCAAUCAAAUCUUUUGUGCUCAAGUCUUUAUCACAUAUAGUACAAUUUGAAAGGCUACUCUUGGGAAAUAGGGGGUAUCAAAGUGUACAUAAUAAAAGUAUAGGGUGUUUUAGAGUUAGUUAAAAGGGUUAGUUAAAGUGGUUAGUGGAUAGAUGUGUAUGAGCUGUCAUUUAGUUAGUGAGCACUAUAUAGCCUUGUAUUGAACAUUCCUCUCUGAAGAAUACAAUUUCGAUUUCUCUUCUUCAUUUCUCAAUCUUCUUUCUCACCCAUAAUCUAACAUGGUAUCAGAGCGAAAAUCGCUAGGACUGUAAUUCCGAUCUAUUUCCGGCGAGAUUCAACUUUUCCGGCAAAACACAGAGGCGAAAUAUAGAGCUAAGAAAUUCUUCAAUUUUGAGCUCAAUUUCAAACAGCCAUGGCAGAUAACGAAGUCAGUUCACUCGACCAUAAUCAUCCGCUAUUUUUGCAAGCUUCAGAUGCUCUAGGACUCGUCUUAAUUUCACUCAAGCUCACAGGUCCAGAAAAUUACGCACUGUGGAGCAGAGCGAUGAAAUUGGCACUCCGGAGAAAGGGCAAGCUUGGAUUUGUGGAUGGAUCUCGUGUAAAAGAUAUGUAUAGAGGUGAAUUGACAGAGCAAUGGGAGAAAUGUAACGCAAUUGUUCUCUCGUAGAUUGGUAGUAUUGUUUCAAAUGAAUUAAUGCCUAGCAUCGUAUAUGCAUCGAAUGCAAAAAAAAGUAUGGGCUGAUUUCCAUGAGAGAUUUUGAGACAAGGAACGGACUCGGUCACUAGCUAUUAUUCGAAAAUGAAGGACCUAUGAGAUGAACUUGAACUAGAUGUCAUAGCACCUCUAGUCUCAUGUGACUGUGAGGAGUCCAGGCCUUCAGUAGAACUCUUGGAACAUUCGCCUAUUGCAGUCCUCAUGGGAUUGAAUGAAAGUUAUGGUAAUAUUCGAAGUAAUGUCUUGGCCAAAAGACCUGUGAUCACAAUGAAUGAAACUUAUGCAAUAGUUACACAAGAAGAAAGUCAAAGAACUCUAGGAAUCACAGACACAUUGAAGGAUCCUCUCACAAUGCUGGUAGGAAAAGGUCAUGAGUGUCAGGAUUAAUCUGCGACUAUUGUGGUUAUAAAGGACACCUCAAAAAAAAUUAUUACAAAAUAGUGUGGUAUCCACCAGAUUUCAAAAGUAAGAAAAAAGGGCAAAACACAGGAGGCAGGACUUGUGUGAACAAUGCAACAAGUGAGGAGAAACAUGCACCUAUGUUGCCAACACAAGGAAAUUUCUUCAUUGAGGAUCAAUACAAACAACUGGUGAAUUUGUUGCAAAAGACUACCACAAAUGAUUAUUCCACCAAUACUGCAGGUAUUAUCACUUUAAUGACAAAUGCAAUUGCUAAUGAUCAUGUUUGGAUAGUGAAUUCAGGUGCUCUCACCAUGUGACACAUUGCAAGAAUGCUUUAGGUAAUCUUAGAAAAGCAGAUCAUAGGACAGAUGGAGUACAAUUACCUACAGGCAGUAAAGCAGAAAUUACACAUACGGGAAAUGCAGGAAGGAGUUCUGUAUGUGCCAGAUUUUAAAUUCAACUUAUUAUUAGUGUCAAAACUCACUAGACAGUUAUGUUGCUCAGUUAGUUUUUGCCCCGAUUUCUGUAUAUUUCAGGGGCUCUACAAUGGCAAGGUGAUGGGGAUUGGUAGAGAAAACAAUGAAUUAUACUUGAUAAAAGAAAAUUUACCAAUAACAUCAAUUAGUUUUUUGAAGGAAAAUGGAAAAACAACAUCGUGGCAUUUGAGGCUAGGUCAUCAUCAACAAAAUCUAUGCAGCAUACUUCAGAACUAAAAAAUAAGAUACAAGUUAGAGAGCAGGACAAUUGUGAGGUGUGCCCUUUGGCAAGGCAAUGUCGACUACAGUUUCCACUUAGUAACACCAGGUCAAGUAGUUGUUUUCAGCUCAUACACAUGGAUGUUUGGGGACUUACAUAUGACAGGAAGCUUUAUUUUGUUACAAUAGUAGAUGACUACAUCCGGUUUACUUGGGUAUGCUUAAUUCAGUCUAAAUGUGAAGUAGUUGUUGUAAUAAAGAACUUUCUUGCAAUGAUAAACACUCAGUUUGAAGCUACUGUGAAAGUUGUUAGAUCAGAUAAUGGCAAUGAGUUCUUCAACUCUCAAUGCAAUGCUUUGUUUGCUUCUCUAGGAAUCGUAUACCAAAGUAGUUGCUGAUACACUCCACAACAAAAUGGGGUGGUUGAACGAAAACAUAGGCAUAUACUGGAGGUUGCAAGAGCCUUAAAAUUCAAAAGCUCAAUUCCUAGGAGGUUCUGGGGUGAUUGUAUAAGAACUGCAGUAUACUUGAUAAACAAACUGCCCACUAGUAUUUUGCAAGGAAUAUCACCUUAUGAGUUAUUGUAUGGACUGCCAGCCAAAAUAGAUCACUUAAGGGUGUUUGGUUGCUUAUGUUAUACAAGUAACCGGCCUAAAGGUGACAAGUUCACAGUUAGAGCUAAAAGGGUUGUUCUUAUUGGAUACUCAGAAACAUAAAAGGGUUAUAGGCUAUAUGAUCUAGAGAAUAGAAGUAUACUAGAGAACUUGUCGCGCUUCGCGCGGUUUAGGAAAAACCUCUUUAUAGAAUGAUAUUUUAAUAUUCGAAUAUUAAAAAUAAUAAAAGUAGGUUAUAUAUACCUUAUUGUUUACCUUCUUGUUCUUUUAUAUCAUGUUGGGUUUCACAAAAAAAAAAGGAAAAAGAUAAAGGAGAGAAAUUUCUUUUUAUUUUCUUUGCAUAAGCUAUUCAUAAUUUACUCUUUUAGUUACUUGGCACGGGUAUAUACUUUUUUUAUCUUUAUCUUUUGAUGUGAUAUAGUAAAAUUAAAGUGAAUAGCUUUUCUAUCCAUGGAAUAUAGAUAUCUUAUUAUGACAUACAUGUAAAAUUCACGAAUAUACACAAAUUUUUGUGGGGGAGAAACCAUUACCACUGCAUGUCUGCCGUCUGCCGUUAUCGCAAUCACUUCAAAUCACGACUAUUUAUUGUUCGUUUGAGAUCUCUCCUCAUGUACAUUUGAGAUGUCCAAAAGGAAUGAAACAUUGGAGGGUAAAAACUUGAAUGCAAAUGAUGCUCUAUCAAAAUGAGAGGGAGUUACUUCUCUGUCUUUGAUGUUGCAACCACAUUAGGAACAUAAGGCAAGUAUUAAUAAGUAAAAACUAAAGUACGAUUAUUUUAAACCGAAGGGAACUACUCACAACUUCACUUUUUGGAGAUAAAAAUUUUAACUGGACCACAUUAAAAAUCUUACUAAAUUAUACUUUUUGAAUUUAGCUAAAAUAGAAAAGAUGAAAAAGUCAUAAGUAGCCAAACAUAAAUAAUUUUUAUAAAUUGAUAAAAUCGCAAUUUUUUUCUAAUGAUAUCUAUGAGUGCAAUUUUCGUCCUUCAAGCACCAUACACCAUACAUAUCACAACCUAUGUAUGAGGGCGUGCAAAUGAUCCAACUUCUAGGCAUCCUAUUAAAAUAUGGUCCUAAGUACCCUGCCUUACAUUGAUCCUCAUUGUUAUUAUGUAGGUCCACUCCUGCCAAAGGUGAUGUCGUUUCAUUCUUCUUAGACACAGCUGCAUUUAGCUUUUUCGAAUUUGCCACAUUUUUCUUUAGGAGAAGGCAUUUCAUGUAAUUCUAUACUUGCUCCUUGAUCUUGGUGGCUUGCUUGAUAUUUGAAAGUCAAUUUGCAGAGGAGAAACUUCUUGUCCUUAAUAGAUAAGACAUGCUUGGGAUUUGCAGGUUACACUUUAAGAAUAUUUUUAAUUCUUAUCGUUGAGUCCUUUGUUUUUCUUAGAAAUGUCUUUCUUAAUCUCUACUUUCCCAAAAUCUACCCUGCAAGAUACCAUUAACUCAGAGUCAAUCUUGAAGCAACCUUGACUCUAAAGUUUAAACUGCACACCGGGCAUUAAAUAGCACUUCAAAGUGAAAAAUUAAUUUUUUCAAUAUAUAAAAAGAUAUUAUAUAGGAACUUUAAUAUAAUAAAUAAAAUAUUAUUUUAACUCCUGAGUCAUUCAUAGAAAUCAGAGAGAAUAUAUAAGACAUAACAGAAUUACAUUUAUAAGAUAAAAGAGUAAGCAUUGAAUAAGUUCUGGAAAAAAUAAAGCAUAGGAUAAAAAUUGGAAUUAAUAUUUAAAAAUCAUAUGGAAUUGAAAAGGGCAAGGCAUAUUCAAGGCAAUGAAACAGAAGGGGGUGGGGGGGUGGAAACACAUACCUAGAAAAAAAUGCAUACCUUGAAUUUCACGGGAAAGAGAAAACUCGAAGUGUACCUAUAGUGUUAGUGGGUUGUCACACAAAUGGAGAGAGAUGGACAAUGAAUAGUGAGGAGAGACAACUACAGAGUGAAUUAAU
rnacentral:lncRNA from 1 species